rnacentral:rRNA from 1 species
AGAGUUUGAUCAUGGCUCAGGACGAACGCUGGCGGCGUGCCUAAUACAUGCAAGUCGAGCGAGCGGAACUAACAGAUUUACUUCGGUAAUGACGUUAGGAAAGCGAGCGGCGGAUGGGUGAGUAACACGUGGGGAACCUGCCCCAGAGUCUGGGAUACCACUUGGAAACAGGUGCUAAUACCGG